AAUGAACGUUGGCGGCGUGGAUUAGGCAUGCAAGUCGAGCGAGAACCCCGCAAGGGGGGACAGCGGCAAACGGGGUAGUAAUGUGUCGGAACGUGCCCUCUGGACGGGGAUAGCGGCGGGAAACUGCCGGUAAUACCCGAUGAACUCGAGAGAGCAAAGGUGUGAUUCCGCCGGAGGAGCGGCCGACAUGGUAUUAGCUAGUUGGCGGGGUAACGGCCCACCAAGGCUGUGAUGCCUAGGGGAUGUGAGAGCAUGAUCCCCACCAUUGGGACUGAGACACUGCCCAGACACCUACGGGUGGCUGCAGUCGAGAAUCUUCGUCAAUGGGCGAAAGCCUGAACGAGCGACGCCGCGUGCGGGAUGAAGGCCCUUGGGUUGUAAACCGCUGUCGAGGGGGAUGAAGGCUGGAAGGUACUCCUUCCAGUUUGACAGAGCCCUGGAGGAAGCACGGGCUAAGUUCGUGCCAGCCGCCGCGGUAACAC
rnacentral:rRNA from 1 species